ACACUUUCCUCGGCUCUGCAGAAGCGAAGUGACGAUUGGGUUUCAUUUUGAGGGUUUGAGGGUUUCGUUCUGAAGCUGAAGCUGGAGGUAAGCGAAUUUAGGGUUUCAGGCUGCAAGUGAAGUUUGAGUUUCAGUUUGAGGGUUUCUGUCUAAAGCUGAAGAUGGUGGGAAUCGCUAGAGCUUCUUGUAGAUAAGAUUGGAAAGCAGCGGGUAUUGCAGAAAGGGUUAUUGAUGGAGUUUCGGAAAGAUUCAUAGAGGUUAUUACUAGAAGUUGCUCAUAAACCAGAUGGAAAGAAGAAUUGCAGAUCAGAAUGGCUUCACGUCUUCUAUUAAGCCGCAACAAGUUACAUAUAUCAUCCGUGGGGUUGAAAAUUUCAACUACGAGGAGAUAUCAAGAUUCAUUCAAAAAGUUGAGAAUAACUUGGAUCCGACAUUGCUUGAGUAUGCUUGGAUGGAGCUUAUUGAGAAUCCAAAAUCUGUCACAGCUGAAGAAAUGGCAGAGGUAAAAAUCUACUUAAGAUUGGGAGAUUGUCUUGGUGCACCUUUGGUGAAUUUACACUCAGAUCACAGAUUAUUUAUGUUAUCGAGGAGCCUCUGGAAAGCUACUCAGCACAUGUUUUGCUAUCGGAAGAUGAAAUUUACUUCAGCGUAGUGGAGGUCAAGGGUUCCCGUUCUGUUUAUGGUCCAUGUUCUAGUGAACAGGUCGAAGAACUUCUACGCAGGAAGGAAGUGAAAGAGGCUGCAGAAAAGGAACUUCAGGAGUUUGCUCAGCUACUUAAAUCUGCUAACGCUAUGCCCAAUUCUUCUAAACCUCGCAAUGAGUUUUGGACAUUAGAAGAGAAAAGCCGCCAAAAGACUGAGGCUCUUGAGGCUUAUGCUAUUGAUGUGUGCAAAAAUGAUGAUUAGAAUAAAAUAGCUGGGACGAUAAAUUUUUGACUGAUGAUGAGUGCCAAAUAGUGCAUAUUUCUAUACCUUUUUAUUGGCAAUUAACUCAUCUUUUGCGCUUUAAAAUCAUAUAUUAUCCCAAAUUGUGUGUUUUCAUUGUUUUCAAGAAUAAAUACUUGCACUAAUUAAUUUUGUGUUUUUAGGUACUAAAUAAAACUUGGAUGAAUAGAGAAGACAAAAGAAAAGAGAAUUUGUGGCAAUGAAAGAAAGACAACAAAUACUUCCGCUAGAAGGCAGUGAAGAAUAUUGUUUGCACCUCAUCCGUCAGUGAAGAAUGUUGUUUGCACGACUCAAAACUAGGUGUGAGCUUGAGAUAGUGGCUUUGAAGAAGAUUUGGGCCUGAAAAGUGAAAUAACCCUAACCCAUAUCCAAACCCGACACAUCAACGUUUGAUGCAACUGCUCAACACCCUAGCACACACCAUUCUUCCCUUAAUCGAACAAGAGCCAAACAUCCCCUUUACCUUCGUUCUCAUCUUCUCCAAACUCUGCAAAAACUCCCAGUACACCUCCAUCAAUCACCUCCACUCCCGACCACUUCUGAGGAGAUCCAUCUUCUCAAGAGCCAUCAAUCAAUCUCCUAGUUUUUUUCUCUCCCCAUUUUAUCUUCUCCCUUAUCAAAAACAGUAACCCUAGAAAUUAUGAUUGAGAGAGAUAAGACUAGGAUUUCUUCACAGCUAAAACAAACAUCAAAUCAAGGAGCUGUAAAGUUGAAUUGCAGAAGGGGUUUGUCAGAAAACGUGUUAUUAGUGAGUGGGUGUUCUCUAAAUUAUCAAAUUCUAAGUGAUUGAGUGAAAAUUGUGUAUAAAUAGAGGAGAGGUUUUGAUGCAAAAUUCAUGCCCGAAUUAGCUGGUGCACCAAGCAGUAAUUCAUGUUUGAUUUUAUCUC